UAGCCUAGUGGUUAGCUACGGACUGCCAAUCCGGAGACGGCGGGUUCGAUUCCCGU
rnacentral:tRNA from 1 species